GAGAUCUGAAAAUUCCCUGGCUAGCUGAACUGAUUCACAUUGGCUAAGACAAACUGUUAACUGUUACCUAAAGAAGAGAACAAACGAGAGAAGAGAAAACGCAAAGAGCCUGCAUGGCUUGGGUUUGAGGAAAAGUUUGGACAACUUUUGAGAGAGAGGAAGAGUGAUUUUGAACCACACAGCUGGACUGGGGAUGUGGAUGCAAUGUGAACAUAAAAGAUUGCCUUCUUAUGGAAACUGCAGCUAAGUACAGGCCAGGUGUGGUGGCUCACGCCUGUAAUUCAAGCCUUUGGG
rnacentral:lncRNA from 1 species